rnacentral:snRNA from 1 species
GUGCUCGCUUCGGCGGCACAUGUACUAAAAUUGAAACUAUACAGAGAAGAUUAGCAUGGCUCCUGCACAAGGAUGACACACAAAUUCGUGAAGCGUUCCAUAUUUUU